rnacentral:rRNA from 1 species
GUUUGUACAAAAUAGCUACAAUACUAAUAAAAAUUUAUAUAUUUGAUACCAAAUAUUAAUGAAGAUAAAACUAAAAAUAAAUAUUGGUUUAUACCUAUGCUAAGAUGAGUAUUAUUAAUUUUUUUAAUAUGGAAUAAGCACCAUUUUCCGUUAAAUAAAGCGAUUUAGCUAUACUAAUUAAGUGAAAGGAACUCGGCAAAUAUACGCUCCGCCUGUUUAUCAAAAACAUGGCUCUUUGGUACCAAAAUAUAAAGAGUCAGACCUGCCCAGUGAAAUAUUUUAACGGCCGCGGUACUCUGACCGUGCAAAGGUAGCAUAAUCAUUUGCCUUAUAAUUGAAGGCUAGUAUGAAUGGUUUAACGUGAGCAAUACUGUCUCUCCUUUAUUUUCUAGAAAUUAACCUUUAGGUGAAGAGGCCUAAAUUUCAUUAAAGGACAAGAAGACCCUGUCGAGCUUAAAAGACAGUAAUAGGAGUCAAUAUCAUAGAAAUAAAUAGAUCUAUUUAGCUUUUUAGUUGGGGCGACUAAGGAACAAACAAAGCUUCUUUCAAUUCAGUAAGCCAGAUAGCAUUGAUCCAGUACAGUACUGAUCAAGAGAAUUAGUUACCGCAGGGAUAACAGCAUAAUCUCUCUUGAGAGACCUAAUCGAAAGGGGGGGUUGUGACCUCGAUGUUGGACUAGAAUAUCCGGAAGAUGCAGACGUCUUCAAAGGUUGGUCUGUUCGAC